UAUAAAGGGUCUUUGAAGGUAAAAGAGGGAAUGGUUGGGUUCGGAGGGUUCUUGAAGGUUAAAAAGGGAAUGGUGGGUUGGAAGGGUCUUUGAAGGUUAAAGAAGGAAUGGUGGGGUUGGGAGGGUCCUUGAAGGUUAAAGAGGGAAUGGUGGGUUGGGAGGGUCCUUGAAGAUUGUGGAAGCAUGGGAUGGUUGGAUAGAAAGGGUCCUUCAAGGUUAAAGA